rnacentral:rRNA from 1 species
AAGGAACGCUGGCAGCGUGCAUAACACAUGCAAGUCGAACGAUGAAGCAUUCUUCGGAAUGUGGAAGAGUGGCGAACGGGUGAGGAACACGUAAGAAUCUGCCCCUCGGUCGGGGACAACUCUUGGAAACGAGAGCUAAUACCCGAUACGCUGUGGAGUGAAAGAAUUUCGCCGAGGGAUGAUCUUGCGUCUGAUUAGCUAGUUGGUGUGGUAAUGGCACACCAAGGCGACGAUCAGUAGCUGGUCUGAGAGGAUGAACAGCCACAUUGGAACUGAGACACGGUCCAAACUCCUACGGGAGGCAGCAGUGGGGAAUUUUCCGCAAUGGACGAAAGUCUGACGGAGCGACGCUGCGUGAAGGAUGACGGCCUGCGGGUUGUAAACUUCUUUUCUCGAAGAAGAAGCUCUGACGGUAUUCGAGGAAUAAGCAUCGGCUAACUCCGUGCCAGCAGCCGCGGUAAUACGGAGGAUGCAAGUGUUAUUCGGAAUGAUUGGGCGUAAAGCGUCUGUAGGCUGUAUAGAAAGUCUUUUGUUAAAUGCCUCGGCUCAACCGAGAUCCAGCAAAGGAAACUUCUAUACUUGAGGGAAGUAGAGGUACAGGGAAUUCCCGGUGGAGCGGUGAAAUGCGUAGAUAUCGGGAGGAACACCAAUAUGGCGAAGGCACUGUACUGGGCUUUACCUGACGCUCAGAGACGAAAGCUAAAGGAGUGAUUAGGAUUAGAUACCCUAGUAAUUUUAGCCGUAAACGAUGGAAACUCACUGCCGAGCGAAAUACAACGAGCGGUGGUCAAGCUAACGCGUGAAGUUUCCCGCCUGGGGAUUACGCUUGC